rnacentral:rRNA from 1 species
AUUGAACGCUAGCGGGAUGCUUUACACAUGCAAGUCGAACGAGUGGCGGACGGGUGAGUAAUAUAUCGGAACGUGCCCAGUAGCGGGGGAUAACUACUCGAAAGAGUGGCUAAUACCGCAUAAAAUGGGAUCGGCCGAUAUGGUAUUAGCUAGUUGGGGGGGUAAAGGCUCACAAAGGCAACGAUCCGUAGCUGGUGUGAGAGGAUGACCAGCCACACUGGGACUGAGACACGGCCCAGACUCCUACGGGAGGCAGCAGUGGGGAAUUUUGGACAAUGGGGGAAACCCUGAUCCAGCCAUCCCGCGUGUAUGAGAAGGCCUUCGGGUUGUAAAGUACUUUUGGCAGAGAAGCGGUAUCUGCAGAAUAAGCACCGGCUAACUACGUGCCAGCAGCCGCGGUAAUUC